GAUCAGGCUCAGGAUGAACGCUAGCGGCAGGCUUAACACAUGCAAGUCGAGGGGCAGCAUAAUGGAUAGCAAUAUCUAUGGUGGCGACCGGCGCACGGGUGCGUAACGCGUAUGCAACCUACCUUUAACAGGGGGAUAACACUGAGAAAUUGGUACUAAUACCCCAUAACAUCAUGAAAGGCAUCUUUUAUGGUUGAAAAUUCCGAUGGUUAGAGAUGGGCAUGCGUUGUAUUAG
rnacentral:rRNA from 1 species